rnacentral:rRNA from 1 species
UUNUGAACUGGGUGACUAGAGUGUGUCAGAGGGAGGUAGAAUUCCACGUGUAGCAGUGAAAUGCGUAGAGAUGUGGAGGAAUACCGAUGGCGAAGGCAGCCUCCUGGGAUAACACUGACGUUCAUGCCCGAAAGCGUGGGUAGCAAACAGGAUUAGAUACCCUGGUAGUCCACGCCCUAAACGAUGUCGAUUAGCUGUUGGGCAGCAUGACUGCUUAGUAGCGAAGCUAACGCGUGAAAUCGACCGCCUGGGGAGUACGGUCGCAAGAUUAAAACUCAAAGGAAUUGACGGGGACCCGCACAAGCGGUGGAUGAUGUGGAUUAAUUCGAUGCAACGCGAAGAACCUUACCUGGUCUUGACAUGUACGGAACCCUCCAGAGACGGAGGAGUGCCUUCGGGAGCCGUAACACAGGUGCUGCAUGGCUGUCGUCAGCUCGUGUCGUGAGAUGUUGGGUUAAGUCCCGCAACGAGCGCAACCCUUGUCAUUAGUUGCCAUCAUUAAGUUGGGCACUCUAAUGAGACUGCCGGUGACAAGCCGGAGGAAGGUGGGGAUGACGUCAAGUCCUCAUGGCCCUUAUGACCAGGGCUUCACACGUCAUACAAUGGUCGGUACAGAGGGUAGCCAAGCCGCGAGGCGGAGCCAAUCUCACAAAACUGAUCGUAGUCCGGAUUGCACUCUGCAACUCGAGUGCAUGAAGUCGGAAUCGCUAGUAAUCGCAGGUCAGCAUACUGCGGUGAAUACGUUCCCGGGUCUUGUACACACCGCCCGUCACACCAUGGGAGUGGGGGAUACCAGAAGUAGGUAGGGUAAC